rnacentral:rRNA from 1 species
GACGUAGGGGGCCAGCGUUGUUCGGAAUUACUGGGUGUAAAGGGUUCGUAGGCGGUGCGGCAAGUCGGGAGUGAAAUCUCUGGGCUCAACCCAGAGGCUGCUUCCGAAACUGCUGUGCUUGAGUGUGGGAGAGGCGCGUGGAAUUGCAGGUGUAGCGGUGAAAUGCGUAGAUAUCUGCAGGAACACCCGUGGCGAAAGCGGCGCGCUGGACCACUACUGACGCUGAAGAACGAAAGCUAGGGGAGCAAACAGG